AGAUCGUCAGCAGCAGUUGAUAAAUUGCCGGAAAUUUUCGGAGUUCGUCUCAUUGGUCUCGGGGGUGGAAUUGGCGAUGGUGGAUAACUUGAUGCCUCAGAGAGAGUUUCCGGUGUCGCUAAAGGAGCCAUUCGAGGCAUGGAAAAUUUAAUUCAACAAUCUUGAGAACACUGAGAGUAAAAAAGGGGUGUUUUUUUGGAAUCAGAGUGCGAUAGAAAUUGUGGAUCGAUUCAACAAAUUGUCAAGAAUUAAAAUUUAUCUGACAGGGAUAAUUUUCUAUUAGUCACACCAAAAUCUAUGAACAAUGUUUACCUGGAGUUCUAAUCGUUGCAACACAUCUAUAAACAUUAAUUUACAAACUCUCAAGACAAUCAGUAUUCAUGUUUGCUCUCGUUGGGCCUGGGCGUGUGCAAAAGUUCACUGGCCAAGCUAAUAAAUUCCCAAGGAAGACCCGUGGAAUCGAGGCUGAGUUCACGACCUGCUUGAGGGAAUUCGUUGGGACUCUGGAGUG